rnacentral:rRNA from 1 species
CCUACGGGGGACAGCAGUGAGGAAUAUUGGUCAAUGGCCGGAAGGCUGAACCAGCCAAGCCGCGUGAAGGACGAAGGUGCCAAGCAUUGUAAACUUCUUUUGUCAAGGGACAAAAUCAGGCUCGAGAGCCUGACCGAGGGUACUUGUAGAAAAAGCAUCGGCUAACUCCGGGCCAGCAGCCGCGGUAAUACGGAGGAUGCGAGCGUUAUCCGGAUUUAUUGGGUUAAAAGGGUGCGUAGGCGGAAGGUUAAGUCAGCGGGAAAAGCCCGGGGCUCAACCCCGGCGAGCCGUUGAAACUGGCUGGCUUGAGAUGUGGAGAGGUAAGCGGAAUGCGCAGUGUAGCGGUGAAAUGCUUAGAUAUUGCGCAGAACUCCGAUUGCGAAGGCAGCAUACCGGCGGCGAACUGACGCUGAGGCACGAAAGCGUGGGUAUCGAACAGGAUUAGAUACCCGUGUAGUC